UUUAACACUACAAGCCACGAAUUAAGUGAUGAAUAACCCUGCCCCGCCGUUAAAAAAAAUCUACCAACAACGCACGCACGCACGACUCUCGCCCCCUCCUCCUCCUCCCGUCGGGGCAGUUCCUCCCGCGUGUAGUUCGCCGCGUUGCCGUUCCUCCCGCGGCCGUCAGCCGCCGCCUUCGCCGCCCCGGCUUUCCUCCCGUGGACGUCAGACGCCGCCGGAGCCGCCCUACCCCACGCCCCGCCGGAGCCGCCCCCUUCGCCGCGGGAACCGCGGGCCGCUGGAGCCGCCCUUCGCCGCCCCGCCGCUCAGCUUGCCGGAGCCGCCCGCCGCCCUACGCCACGCCCCGCCGGAGCCGCCCCCUUCGCCGCGGGAGCCGCGGGCCGCUGGAGCCGCCCUUCGCCGCCCCGCCGCUCAGCUUGCCGGAGCCGCCCGCCGCACCCCCUUGGCCACGGGAGCCGCGUGCCGCCGAGCCGUUCCUCCACGACCACCACAACCAAGGCAGGGAGCGCUGCUCCAACCUCCUCUCCUAUGACUCCAAGUCUGACGACGCCCGCGACCAGGCGUGCUCCCCUCCAUGAGAUUUCAGGAUAGAAAGGGAGCUUUGGAGAGGGAUCGCAAAGAUCAAGGCUAUUGUGUCAAGUACUGUGCUCAAAACGUCCAUUGGGUGCAUCCAUCUCGCCCCAGUUCAUCACCAACCACCGUGCAAUUUACAUCCACUGCGAUCAUGGAUGACCCCGUGAGACAUUGUCGCCAGUCCUAUUCUUCUAGAUACAAUGGGUCAGCUAAUACGGUAUUUUGCUAUGCUAAUCACGCUUCCGUUUCAUUAAAUUCUCAGAACAAUACUACUUGCUUUCUACUAAUAGUGUUCUGUCCACUGCAAAAAUAAGAAUUAUCGCAACAUUUUCAUGAUCUAUAUUCCAGCUCUUAAUAUAACAUUUGUUUCAGAAGCGGAUAAGUGGUCAAGGGUCGUAUAUAAGAAUACUGCAGGUCUAACUACACUCUUCUCAGCCUGGAAAUUAUUAUGUGCUUGCUGACUUGCUUUGCUCACAUUAUCGCCAAAACUGUGAGCGGUCCUUGCAUUUCUUGCGUAUUCAUUGACAUACACGCAUGUAGUAAAUGCGAAGUUAUUUUGUCCUGAUAUGAACAAGCAUGUUGAUUAGUGCAUUCAGUUUCCAGUAGUACAGAAGGAAUCUCAAUCCAUGUUCAUGUUAAAGAAAGCGGAGAGAUGUUGUAGGUUGGAACUGUGCAUGCUUGUUGAUUUCUUGUUGUGACUUCUGUAGUUUGCCACAUGUUUUUGUUCGAACUACAUCUGAAUUGUAGAUCUGAAGUUUCAUUUGCACACAUCAACUUCAAACUGCUAUAGAAUUUUGUACCAUACUGAGGUUCGUUUCAGUUCUGUUUUUGAGAAUGGUUCACUUCAGUUCACAUAAGUCAUUUGAUGAUAUUUUUCAGCCAUUACUAUUUCUCCAAUAUUGUUCAUGAUCUCUUCGCCGCCCCUUGAUGCCGGGCUUGGAGCUCACCUGGCCCGCAUGUCCCCGCCGCCUCUCCCACGCCGUGUCUGCCCAGCAGUCGCACUAGGCCAAGACGAGGACAAAGCCAAACCCCAGACAGCGUAGGGACUGAAGCAACAAUCUGUUCAUUUCGGACACUUGGGCCCAGAAAUUAGGAGUUGAGGUUUGCCUCAUUGAGAAGUACUGGCCGGGAGUUCACCUUCACAAUCAACCAGUGAUCCCUUGUACUACUUCAGGGAUCAAGCCGAGGUACUUCUACUUUUCUGUCCAAACAAGAAAUUAGUGGGAAAAAAAGAUACCUCUCAUUCAGGUAUAUUAUGAAUACAGAUUUGGUUGUCGGCUGUCGGCUUUUCCUAUAGGGACAAAGCUCAACUGUUGAAUGUUGAUGGUGAAUCGAAGAUAGUGCUUAUUCCAGUUGUAGUUGCGGUCAGUUUCCUUCCAUUCCUUUUACCUGAUAAUUUAUCUCUUCAUUUUCUUUGGUAUUCUAUUUUAUAUGAAAAUUCGUCGAUGCGAGACUUGGACCAUGAAUUUGCUUCAGUUGCUUAUUUUGUAGUAGUAUACUCCUUUGUGACAAUCAAGAAUAUGCUAGCCGUAUUGCCAGCAUUAUAUGUAUAUACUCCAUAUGGUAGUAUAUACUCUGAGAACUGGUGUAUAUACCUUAUUUGUAAAAUAGUUUGUAUAUACUUCUUGCUAACUACUCUGUAUUAUCAUGGUGGGUUAAAUAGUUUUUGGUCUUCUAACUCUCUAGGAUAAUUAGCAUCUUUGUGGGCCUUUUCAGAUUAAAAUAACCUAUUGAUUUGAUCAAUAGAACAGAUCUCUCUUUUUAAAUAGUGGUAGUUUCUCCAAAGUUCUACUAAUUUAAUUCAUUAUUUAGGUAUCCAGAUCCAAUAGCCUUGCUGUUUAUAUCUUCUUCUAAUAAAUCAAUUUACAGUGCCACAGUUAAAACAGAUGCAAAUUGAUGUAUUGCUCGAAUUUCAAUCCUGCACUUUAUCUAUGUUGCUUGCUCUGAACUCUGUAAAAGGUACAUUGCACAUGCUGUUCACCUCUUUCUGUACUUUGUUGGUUCUUCUUAACAUUUGUGUUUUUCCUAUAAGAUGACGAAGAGUAAUCCAGACAAAGUUCCACGAACGACUACGCAUCGUUCCCCAUUUACAGACAUAACGAACUCGUCUACCAUUGAUAACGCAAAUGUCACUACUAAUAGUCAACAAUUAGUUCAAUAAAAUUGCUUGGUUAUUGGCACGGUGGUUGCAUCACAGCUGCGAAAUCUCCACUGGCGUAGGAUACAAAGAUAAGACGCUGGCAAGUGGCUGUACAGCUUAUUCUUGUUUACUUGUCUCAGACACAGAUGUAUAUCGCUGUUAAAGGCUGUGACGACGUGCCGUGCUGAUUGAUCAUUAGUUGGACGGGCCUGCUGGGGCUGAACAUUUGACUUUUGACCAGAACAAGUGAUCAGAAGCGCUUCCCCAGUUGGCAUCAUCCUGCAGACAGCGUUUAGGAUGAGCAUCAUCUUAGUGGCGCGCCGUUGUGGGAGGCGCAUGCACUGUGGUGGGCCGAGGUGUGUACUACGUGGGAGACGCGAGGAAAAUGCUCAAUUCCUAUUUUGAGUGAGUCCCACCCAUGGAACCUCAUAAGCCUAAGGCAUUUAGACUAGAUGUCUGGAUUAUGUGGUUGCCCACUUGAUUUCUUCAUUCACUGCAGUUGAUGGUAUGAGAAACAAUAUAUGAAGACUUGGUUAUUUCUUUCAGUUGAGACGUUCAGUGAGAAUUUAGCACCGACAUAAUGAGAGAGGAAUCCAGCCCUGAAGAAAGCACUGGCAAAUGAACCGGCAUAUAUUUCAUCACUUGGUUCUUCUAUCUAUGAAGUAGUGUGAACCUGCAUGCCAAGUUUCUUCUGCAUGAGGCAGAUAUGCUAUAUUGCUAUUUGAGAUGUGAUUCUCCUGUCCUUAGAAGCAUGUUCUUUGUCCUAAUUUUCUGUAUGCUCUCUGUUCUUCAGAGAGUAUACUUAAAACAGUCUUGAUUAGAACGAUAAUAAUAAGUUAUCCUUGGAAAUCUGCUGAUCGACAAAAUGUAGUUUUCAGUAGCAUGCCUGUUGAUUACUAAUUGCUAUGGCAUUUUAUUUUCUGAUACAUCUAAAGCGUCCAAUGUGAUUUGCUUCACUGCAGAGUAAUAUGGAUGAAGAACUGAGAGCAGCGUUUGGUCAAAAGAUUCAGGUAGGAAACUGGUUUUCGCAAAUGCCCAAAUCGUGGUAAAGGCAGUAAAGGUAAGUUCAGAGUCUUUCGGUUACAUGCAGAAUAAAGACUAUAUUUAUGGUGAGUGAUGCGGGAAUUAUUAUGAAGGUGAUACAGAUUCAGUCAUAACCUUUGAUUGGCUACAAUUUAUGUCGAAGAUACAAUGCAGAAGCAUGAUAUGAAUGUGUGCCAACUCAACAAAACUAAAUGUUGCUCUAUGAAUCAUUGUUUAAAGUGAUUCAGUAUCAGUUCAUAUCUUAAGAUCAUUGCACCAUCAAGCAUCUUCCUCGUAGCAUGGGCUGUGGCCAUUUUCUAUAGAAAAAUUAUAGUAACCAUGCAUUUAUGUUUCUGUAGUUUGAUUUUAGCAUUUGUUUCAAUGAAUUUGAAGGUACUGGCACAGCGGAGUUAUUGUGGUAUAUGCCAGCAUGUUUGACGCUGUCACAUGAGCUGUUGAUAACUCGAUAUGCUAUGAGUUGUCCUUCUGAUGAAGAACUUUUUACUUACAUCUCAAUUUUCAUUGUGUCUGGAGGAUAAAUACUAAUACUAUCUCCUUUGAUCUUUUGGCUGUCCCUCGGGCCAUGAAUGUUCCUACUGGGGUGAAGGAGAACAUUCAGCUCAUGAGGGGGCUUCACAUGGUCGCCGAUAUCCAAUGCCUUGAUUGUCGUGAGGCGCUCGUGUGGAAGUGCAAGAUGGACUACGAGGAAUCACAGAAGUACAAGGAAUGGAAGUUCAUAUUUGAGAAGGCAAAUAUUGUACAUGAGAAUUGGUAGUAAAUAAAAAAGUCAACAAUGUGCCAAAAUGCUAUUAUGGAGAUGUGAAUUGUGAUCCCUGCCUUUGUACAUAGCAGUCACCUGUAAGUACCAAUUUGUUGGUCGCACCAUCUUAUUUCGCGCCAUAAUUUACACUUUUGUUUUCUGUGGAGAGACAAAUUUUGUUAAUUUGUCUCGGAACCAUUUUUUGUUCAUAGCUGGUUGGCUUAAGAAUGUUUGAUCUUUUUGUUAAACAUCGAAUUAAGAAAUGGAUCAACUUCUUGCUGUAAUUUCCAUUGUUACCUUGUGUAG